rnacentral:rRNA from 2 species
GUUGGGUAGGGGAGCGUUCUGUAAGCCUGCGAAGGUGGCCUGUGAGGGUUGCUGGAGGUAUCAGAAGUGCGAAUGCUGACAUAAGUAACGAUAAAGCGGGUGAAAAGCCCGCUCGCCGGAAGACCAAGGGUUCCUGUCCAACGUUAAUCGGGGCAGGGUGAGUCGACCCCUAAGGCGAGGCCGAAAGGCGUAGUCGAUGGGAAACGGGUUAAUAUUCCCGUACUUGGUGUUACUGCGAAGGGGGGACGGAGAAGGCUAUGUUGGCCGGGCGACGGUUGUCCCGGUUUAAGCGUGUAGGCUGGUUUUCCAGGCAAAUCCGGAAAAUCAAGGCUGAGGCGUGACGACGAGGCACUACGGUGCUGAAGCAACAAAUGCCCUGCUUCCAGGAAAAGCCUCUAAGCAUCAGGUAACAUCAAAUCGUACCCCAAACCGACACAGGUGGUCAGGUAGAGAAUACCAAGGCGCUUGAGAGAACUCGGGUGAAGGAACUAGGCAAAAUGGUGCCGUAACUUCGGGAGAAGGCACGCUGACACGUAGGUGAAGUGAUUUACUCAUGGAGCUGAAGUCAGUCGAAGAUACCAGCUGGCUGCAACUGUUUAUUAAAAACACAGCACUGUGCAAACACGAAAGUGGACGUAUACGGUGUGACGCCUGCCCGGUGCCGGAAGGUUAAUUGAUGGGGUCAGCGCAAGCGAAGCUCCUGAUCGAAGCCCCGGUAAACGGCGGCCGUAACUAUAACGGUCCUAAGGUAGCGAAAUUCCUUGUCGGGUAAGUUCCGACCUGCACGAAUGGCGUAAUGAUGGCCAGGCUGUCUCCACCCGAGACUCAGUGAAAUUGAACUCGCUGUGAAGAUGCAGUGUACCCGCGGCAAGACGGAAAGACCCCGUGAACCUUUACUAUAGCUUGACACUGAACAUUGAGCCUUGAUGUGUAGGAUAGGUGGGAGGCUUUGAAGUGUGGACGCCAGUCUGCAUGGAGCCGACCUUGAAAUACCACCCUUUAAUGUUUGAUGUUCUAACGUGGACCCGUAAUCCGGGUUGCGGACAGUGUCUGGUGGGUAGUUUGACUGGGGCGGUCUCCUCCUAAAGAGUAACGGAGGAGCACGAAGGUUGGCUAAUCCUGGUCGGACAUCAGGAGGUUAGUGCAAUGGCAUAAGCCAGCUUGACUGCGAGCGUGACGGCGCGAGCAGGUGCGAAAGCAGGUCAUAGUGAUCCGGUGGUUCUGAAUGGAAGGGCCAUCGCUCAACGGAUAAAAGGUACUCCGGGGAUAACAGGCUGAUACCGCCCAAGAGUUCAUAUCGACGGCGGUGUUUGGCACCUCGAUGUCGGCUCAUCACAUCCUGGGGCUGAAGUAGGUCCCAAGGGUAUGGCUGUUCGCCAUUUAAAGUGGUACGCGAGCUGGGUUUAGAACGUCGUGAGACAGUUCGGUCCCUAUCUGCCGUGGGCGCUGGAGAACUGAGGGGGGCUGCUCCUAGUACGAGAGGACCGGAGUGGACGCAUCACUGGUGUUCGGGUUGUCAUGCCAAUGGCACUGCCCGGUAGCUAAAUGCGGAAGAGAUAAGUGCUGAAAGCAUCUAAGCACGAAACUUGCCCCGAGAUGAGUUCUCCCUGAGACUUAGAGUCUCCUGAAGGAACGUUGAAGACGACGACGUUGAUAGGCCGGGUGUGUAAGCGCAGCGAUGCGUUGAGCUAACCGGUACUAAUGAACCGUGAGGCUUAACCUU